rnacentral:rRNA from 1 species
AGCAGCCGCGGUAAUUCCAGCUCCAAUAGCGUAUAUUAAAGUUGCUGCAGUUAAAAAGUUCGUAGUUGAAUUUCGGGAUCGAUAUAUCGGUCGUGCCUCGGUACGUACUGGUAUUUUCGGUUUCUACCUUCUGACGAACCUUGAUGUCAUUAAUUUGGUGUCUUGGGGAAUCAGGACUGUUACUUUGAAAAAUUAGAGUGUUUAAAGCAGGCUCACGCUUGAAUACAUUAGCAUGGAAUAAUGAAAUAGGACGUUUGAUUCUAUUUUGUUGGUUUCUAGGAUCGACGUAAUGAUUAAUAGGGAUAGUUGGGGCAUUAGUAUUCAAUUGUCAGAGGUGAAAUUCUUGGAUUUAUUGAAGACUAACUACUGCGAAAGCAUUUUGCCAAGGAUGUUUUCAUUAAUCAAGAACGAAAGUUAGGGGAUCGAAGACGAUCAGAUACCGUCGUAGUCUUAACCAUAAACUAUGCCGAACUAGGGAUCGGAUGAUGUUAAUUUUUAAUG